rnacentral:rRNA from 1 species
GAUGAACGCUGGCGACGUGCCUAAUGCAUGCAAGUCGCACGCAGAGCUUCGGUUCUGAGUGGCGGACGGCUGAGGAACACGUGGGUACCUGCCGUGCAGUGGGGGACAACGGGCCGAAAGGUCCGCUAAUCCCGCAUACGUUCUUUCGAGAAGAAAGCCUUCGGGCGCUGCACGAGGAGCCUGCGGCCCAUCAGAUAGUUGGCGGGGUAAUGGCCCACCAAGUCGAUGACGGGUCCCUGGUCUGAGAGGACGACCAGGCAGACUGGGACUGAGACACGGCUCAGACUCCUACGGGAGGCAGCAGCAAGGAAUUUUCGGCAAUGGGCGCAAGCCUGACCGAGCAACGUCGCGUGGAGGAAGACGGCUUUCGGGUUGUAAACUCCUUUUGUGGGGGAUGACAUCGACAGUACCCCGCGAAUAAGCCCCGGCUAACUCCGUGCCAGCCGCCGCGGUAAAAC